rnacentral:lncRNA from 1 species
CCCACCUCUCAUUCCUCCUGUCCCUCCCAGCCUGCUCACAUCUAGGUAUGUUUGGUGGGCUCCCAUGCAGGGGUCCCAGUAUCAACUAGGGGGCAUGGUGGGUGCUCCCAUUACCCUACGAUGGACACCCACACAGGACAGCUGUUUACAUUGUGGAUUCAGCAUAUUGAACUGCAGAACAGAAUAUUGAACUGGCAAACAAAUGAGGUGUCCUGUCUCGGCUCAGAGACAAGGCCCAGGAAAGUGCUUCAGAGGCUGCUCUGCCCAGUGGGCAGGGGCAUCAUCAACCCUCCCUCGGAGAUGUUCACGCAAACUCUAGGAGUUAAGUGACUCAGCCAAUACCACCCAUGAGACACGACCCCUAGCCUCCAACUCGAAGUUCAGUGCUUGCUGCAGACGAUGAGAAGACUGAGGCCAGCUAUCUCCUGAGCUACGGUGGACCUGAAUUCCCCUCUCCCGACCCCUGCCAACCCCGGCCUAGGACUGCCCCAGGUAAAAUGAUCCCA